rnacentral:rRNA from 1 species
UACGAAGGGGGCUAGCGUUGCUCGGAAUCACUGGGCGUAAAGCGCACGUAGGCGGAUCUUUAAGUCAGGGGUGAAAUCCUGGAGCUCAACUCCAGAACUGCCUUUGAUACUGGGGAUCUCGAGUCCGGAAGAGGUGAGUGGAACUCCGAGUGUAGAGGUGAAAUUCGUAGAUAUUGGGAAGAACACCGGUGGCGAAGGCGGCGACCUGGUCCGUGACUGACGCUGAGGCGCGAAAGCGUGGGGAGCAAACAGG